rnacentral:rRNA from 1 species
CCUACGGGAGGCAGCAGUAGGGAAUAUUGGUCAAUGGGUGGAAGCCUGAACCAGCCAUGCCGCGUGCAGGAAGACGGCCUUCUGGGUUGUAAACUGCUUUUGCCAGGGGAUAAAAAGCUCAUGCGUGAGCAACUGAAGGUACCUGGUGAAUAAGCCACGGCUAACUACGUGCCAGCAGCCGCGGUAAUACGUAGGUGGCAAGCGUUGUCCGGAUUUAUUGGGUUUAAAGGGUGCGUAGGCGGCCUGUUAAGUCAGUGCUGAAAUAUCACAGCUUAACUGUGAGGGUGGCAUUGAUACUGGCGGGCUUGAGUGGAGCCGAGGUAGGCGGAAUUGACGGUGUAGCGGUGAAAUGCUUAGAUAUCGUCAAGAACACCGAUAGUGAAGACAGCUUACUAGACUUCAACUGACGCUGAUGCACGAAAGUGUGGGGAUCAAACAGG